UAGGGAAUCUUCCGCAAUGGGCGAAAGCCUGACGGAGCAACGCCGCGUGAGUGAUGAAGGCCCUAGGGUUGUAAAGCUCUUUCACCGGUGAAGAUAAUGACGGUAACCGGAGAAGAAGCCCCGGCUAACUUCGUGCCAGCAGCCGCGGUAAUACGAAGGGGGCUAGCGUUGUUCGGAUUUACUGGGCGUAAAGCGCACGUAGGCGGACUUUUAAGUCAGGGGUGAAAUCCCGGGGCUCAACCCCGGAACUGCCUUUGAUACUGGAAGUCUUGAGUAUGGUAGAGGUGGGUGGAAUUCCGAGUGUAGAGGUGAAAUUCGUAGAUAUUCGGAGGAACACCAGUGGCGAAGGCGGCUCACUGGGCCAUUACUGACGCUGAGGUGCGAAAGCGGGGGGAGCAAACAGG
rnacentral:rRNA from 1 species